rnacentral:rRNA from 1 species
UACGAAGGGUGCAAGCGUUAAUCGGAAUUACUGGGCGUAAAGGGUGCGUAGGCGGUUCGUUAAGUCUGUCGUGAAAUCCCCGGGCUCAACCUGGGAAUGGCGAUGGAUACUGGCGAGCUAGCGUGUGUCAGAGGAUGGUGGAAUUCCCGGUGUAGCGGUGAAAUGCGUAGAGAUCGGGAGGAACAUCAGUGGCGAAGGCGGCCAUCUGGGACAACACUGACGCUGAAGCACGAAAGCGUGGGGAGCAAACAGG